CCGGCCUCCCAGUUUUCAUGAUGAGGAAGUGAUGGUAGCUUUUCAUCUGCCCAGAAGUUAACUUUUGAUGGAUUUGCCUUCUAAGGCAUCAAACAUGUCUUCUAAGGCCUUCUCCACACAUUGGAGAAACUCCCGGGCAUUGCGGCCUGGGUAGGAAGAGACAUUGCAGCCUAUCCAGUUGUCAUGAACAGCAUACCCAACACCAAAGCCAUCAGAGACCACAGGGGCAAAGCCCCCAAGGUUCACUGCUGGGCUGCUCAGCGUGCUCGUGGACAGGACAUUGUGGUUUAUCUGCCCGUAUGCAGGGUCCAGGUAGAGCUCAGGCAAGAUGAUCCCUUUGGCUGCUGCCAGAUGCCGCAGAGCAAACAAGUGUCGGUCAAAGCCCUGGCCUGUGAGAAACAAAAUGGAAAACCAGAGUCUCAGGAUGGAAAAGGACCUCAGGAAAACCUCCCAACUCACCACAUGGACCAGGAGGUGUCUGGCCUUGUCAUCAGUGAAGAGUUCAUCCCGACUGGGUUUGGGUAAACGAGUUGAGUUGAAAAGCCGAAAAUACUGGGACAUAUCCAGGGGAUACGCAUUGACCAGGUAGGCCCCAUACCAGGACAGAGAGGAAGGCACAAAGCGUAUGAGUCUCUUGAAGGUGAUAGUGUCACUUUUUGCAGGGUUCAAGUGGAACACUUCUGGCUCCAGAAGGCCAGCCCGGAGUGUCUUCAGAAACCGGAUGGCAGAAACAGUCAUGUUGGUUGCCCGGAUGAGGAAACUGAGACUUCAAGAGUCCAAAUAUCUUAGUGUUCU
rnacentral:lncRNA from 1 species